rnacentral:tRNA from 1 species
GCUUCGGUGGCUUAAUGGUAUAGCAUCACCAUGGUAAGGUGGAGAUUGGGGGUUCAAUUCCCUCCCGAGGCU